GACGAACGCUGGCGGCAUGCCUAAUACAUGCAAGUCGAGCGAACAGAUGAAGUGCUUGCACUUCUGACGUUAGCGGCGAACGGGUGAGUAACACGUAAGGAAUCUACCUAUAAGCGGGGGAUAACAUUCGGAAACGGGUGCUAAUACCGCAUAAUAUCUUCUUCCGCAUGGAAGAAGAUUGAAAGACGGCUCUGCUGUCACUUAUAGAUGACCUUGCGGUGCAUUAGUUAGUUGGUGGGGUAACGGCCUACCAAGACGAUGACGCAUAGCCGACCUGAGAGGGUGAUCGGCCACAUUGGGACGGAGACACGGCCCAAACUCCUACGGGAGGCAGCAGUAGGGAAUCUUCCGCAAUGGGCGAAAGCCUGACGGAGCAAUGCCGCGUGAGUGAAGAAGGCCUUCGGGUCGUAAAACUCUGUUAUAAGAGAAGAACAAAUUGUAGAGUAACUGCUACAGUCUUGACGGUAUCUUAUCAGAAAGCCACGGCUAACUACGUGCCAGCAGCCGCUGUAA
rnacentral:rRNA from 1 species